rnacentral:rRNA from 1 species
AUGCUUGUGCCGCAGGCCAUCAAGAUGAAGGAGAUCAUGAUGAAGAAGCUGUUGGUUGUCGUCAAUGUCGGCGAGACCGACGAGGAGGCGAUGGCGAGGUUUGCCCGAGAGCAUCCGGAGUACGUCCAGGCCGAGCUGGAGUACUCUUGGAAGCGUGAGGCGGAGCAGAAGAAGGAGGACGAGGCCAGUCCCUCGACGGUGAUCCCCAUUGAGUCCUCUUCCGAGGAGGACUGGGCAGACUUCUCGGAGGAGGAGGAGGAGGAGGGGUGCAACGACCCGGAGAAGGAGGUGUUCUGGGCGCAGUUCCGCAGCUCCGACGAUGAGGAGUAG